rnacentral:rRNA from 1 species
CCCUUAGAUGUUCUGGGCUGCACACGAGCUACACUGGCAGGUUCAGCGAGCUUCAUGCCCUGAUCUGAAAGGAAUGGGAAAUCUUUUCAAAACCUGCCGUGCUUGGGAUAGAUGUUUGCAAUUAUUCAUCUUCAACGAGGAUUGCCUUGUAAGCGCACGUCAUCAGCGCGCAUUGAAUACGACCCUGUAUUCUGUACACACCGCCCGUCGCUCCUACCGAUUGAAGUUUUCGGUGAGUUGACAGGAGGAUUUUUUUGAAACUGGUUCGCCAGUGGAUUUUAGAUCCAAAUGCCAACGAAUCGAUGGCUUUAGAGGAAGGAGAAGUCGUAACA